AUGUAAUCCAUCUUUAAAAGGGAUAAAUUACUUUAAAAGAAAUUAAUCUUACAGAGUUUGCUCUUCAAGUCAAAAAUCUUAU
rnacentral:pre_miRNA from 1 species